UACAGAGGGUGCGAGCGUUAAUCGGAAUUACUGGGCGUAAAGCGCGUGUAGGCGGCUUGGCAAGUCGGAUGUGAAAGCCCACGGCUCAACCGUGGAAGCGCAUCCGAAACUGCUUCGCUCGAGUCUCGGAGAGGAAGGUGGAAUGCUUGGUGUAGAGGUGAAAUUCGUAGAUAUCAAGCAGAACACCUGCGGCGAAGGCGGCCUUCUGGACGAUGACUGACGCUGAGACGCGAAAGCGUGGGGAGCAAACAGG
rnacentral:rRNA from 1 species